rnacentral:sRNA from 1 species
UUUUUUGCUGCAUAGAUUACAACGGUGAUGGCGGGCAAGCGGUCCGGCUGGAGCCGGGCGGCUCUCCUCCAGCUCCUUCUCGGCGUGAACCUGGUGGUGAUGCCGCCCACCCAGGCCCGGAGUCUGCGCUUCGUUACCUUGCUGUACCGCCAUGGAGACCGUUCACCAGUGAAGACAUAUCCCAAGGACCCCUAUCAGGAAGAAGAAUGGCCCCAGGGGUUUGGUCAGUUAACCAAGGUGGGUCAGAAGCCAGCCUUUCCUCAGGAUGAGCUGCAGAAUGAGUGACGUCCAGAGCAGUCUACAAAACUUGGGGUCCUACUAAACUGCCUUUUCCCAUGUGGGUGCUGACUUUGACCAGAUUUCAUAACCUUAAUCUCUGUGCCCAUGAUAUUGCUGUGCAUGACUGGCCACUUAAUGAAAGACUUCUGGGAUCAGAUUAAUUGACUCCAGCAAAGGGUAAACCUGGAAAGCAACAGGGCCUAAACCCCAUGGGGCUUGAAGCCACCCCUUCCCUCUAGACCCUCUUAACCCUUGGGUUUGCCCACAGGAGGGGAUGCUACAGCACUGGGAGCUGGGCCAGGCCCUGCGGCAGCGCUAUCAUGGCUUCCUAAACACCUCUUAUCACCGGCAAGAGGUUUAUGUGCGAAGCACAGACUUUGACCGGACUCUCAUGAGUGCUGAGGCCAACCUGGCUGGACUCUUCCCUCCCAACGGGAUGCAGCGCUUCAACCCGAACAUCUCGUGGCAGCCUAUCCCUGUGCACACUGUGCCCAUCACUGAGGACAGGCUGCUGAAGUUCCCGCUGGGCCCAUGCCCCCGUUAUGAGCAGCUGCAGAACGAGACCCGGCAGACACCAGAGUAUCAGAAUGAGAGUUCUCGGAAUGCAGUGAGUAGGGGCAGAGGUGGAGGUCACCAUGCUGUCUUUUCCCCAGAGCAGGACUGAGACCCUGAUCCAUUUUUCAUAGCAAUUUCUGGACAUGGUGGCCAACGAGACAGGGCUUACAGACCUGACACUGGAGACCGUCUGGAAUGUCUAUGAUACACUCUUCUGUGAGCAAACGCACGGGCUGCGCCUGCCGCCCUGGGCCUCACCCCAAACCAUGCAGCGUCUCAGCCGGCUAAAGGACUUCAGCUUCCGCUUCCUCUUCGGAAUCUACCAGCAGGCGGAGAAGGCCCGGCUUCAGGGGGGAGUCCUGCUGGCUCAGAUAAGGAAGAACCUGACCCUAAUGGCGACCACCUCCCAGCUCCCCAAGCUGCUGGUUUACUCCGCGCACGACACUACCCUGGUUGCCCUGCAAAUGGCACUGGACGUCUACAAUGGUGAACAAGCCCCCUACGCCUCCUGCCACAUAUUUGAACUGUACCAGGAAGAUUCUGGGAAUUUCUCAGUGGAGAUGUACUUUCGGAACGAGAGUGACAAGGCCCCCUGGCCGCUCAGCCUGCCUGGCUGCCCUCACCGCUGCCCACUGCAGGACUUCCUUCGCCUCACAGAGCCCGUCGUGCCCAAGGAUUGGCAGCAGGAGUGCCAGGUGGCAAGCGGUCCUGCAGACACAGAGGUGAUCGUGGCCUUGGCUGUAUGUGGCUCCAUCCUCUUCCUCCUCAUAGUGCUGCUCCUCACCGUCCUCUUCCGGAUGCAGGCCCAGCCUCCUGGCUACCGCCAUGUCGCAGAUGGGGAGGACCACGCCUGACAACCACUCAGCCCCCUUCCCUCCGCCUCCUAGGGGAGGUGGGCUGGGCCCUCGCUCCUGACUGUUGCUGCUCCCCAGCCCAUGGACAGGAGAUCCUGGGUUGGGCCUCCCUCUGAUGACCCCAGCCAGAUGAGCGAGUGGGGCUCAGCAUGGCCCGUGGUGCCUGUCACUCAGCAUUCCCAUGCCUCAUGUUUACCAAGUGCUGUGUUGGACACUGGCUUUCUCCAAACAGGAUUUGCCUCCUCCACGCUCCCUACACACCUAAGAUGUAAACUGGCGGUCAGUGUUCACUCAGGACCUAGGAUUAGAAAAUGGCAGAGUUGGUGCUGGAUCCGCCUUGCACUUCUAUCAAGCCGUGUUCUUUUUCCUCCAGCCUGAAGUCUUUGGCAAAUAGCUCAGAGGGACACGGUCUUGCCUCUCAGUGCUUAUUUUAGUGGGAAAAACAGCUAAUACCAGGGGUACAAACAUUGGCUCCCAAGGAACUGGAUCACCCAACAGCCAGCCAGCCACAUUUCCCUGUGUCUGCUAGAGCCACAUUUCCCUGUGUCUGGCUAGAGCCACAUUUCCCUGUGUCUGGCUAGAGCCACAUUUCCCUGUGUCUGCUAGAGCCGCCACUAGACUCAGACAGAAUGCUUCA